GUUAUGUGUAGCUAUUUCCUUCAUCUGAAUACAAGUGCUCGAAAAAGGGGUAAGAAAACAAAGAGGCAAGCUUAGGACCAUAAAUAGGAAUCAAAGGAAACCAGAAAUGCAUUUUAGGAAUCAAAAUGGGACAUCAAAGAGCUACAUGGACAGAUCAGGAAGGCACAUAAAUUCUACCACUUAAUUGCAAUGCCCAAUUACAGUUGCAAUUUCAGGGGGAAAAAAUGUGACUGCUUAAACAAAGUCAAAAC
rnacentral:misc_RNA from 1 species